CUGACCCGGCGUCUUGGCAGCAGCACUGGGAAGCUGCACUGGUGAAUCCCGGCCCUCCGGUUUUCUUUCCUUCCUCCCUUCCCUCUGAAGGAAGCCCCCAUGAACGGGUCCCUGGGAUUAAGGAGGAAGCAGAGGUUUUAAUGAAGCUGACUCCAUUCUUCCGAGGGGUGAAGGGAGAUAACUUUUGAAGGGGAUAAAUGUAAGCAAAUGCUGAACAACAUGCCGAUUCUGAAAGCACAAAUCCCCUCCACAGAACUGCAAAUUGAAGACUCAAGGCUCCUGUUUUGUUGAAAAGGGACUUUUGCGCCCAACAAGGGGACCUUGAGGAGCUCUCCUGAGAGUCCCUUUCACAUAGAUAUGCACAGAAUGAAUAGUUUAUCUCCAGCUCCUGCUGACUUUCAUGAAUAAUUUGAGGUAAAAAGCUAAGUUGGAUUUCUGCUAUGUCGGUUAACUUGGAAGUACCAGCUUCUAAUAUUCCAGCCACAGACUGAAACAGACUUUCCAGUUUUAGAGACCAAAGUGGCCUCUCUGGCUUCCAUUCAUUGUGAAUACCUUACCUUUUUUCCUCCUUUAACUACCUGGCUGCUUCAGGCUCCCCAAAACAUGAAAGAGGCUCUAGAGCUUCCAGCUGACAGAACAUCUCUUGUGAAUGAAAGCUCUUUACUUAAACACAGAAGAUUUGGUGGGACAUACAACUGUGAUUUUUACUGUUUCUCGUUUUCAUUCCCAGGUGUACGCCAGAAAAUCCUGUGGUCAGCCCUGAAGGGCAAAACAGAUCUCUGCUGAGCAGAGCAGCAGAGGGAGUGUCAAAGCUGCACAUUGGAGAUGGGGAAGAAAAAUCUCACCUUGGAUUCAGGAGCUGGAAUUCAUCAUAAACUCACACUUCAGCCUUCUUCUCCCAGGAGGAUCAGCAUCGGGGUAGAGGCACUAUGGGACAACUCCUUUCCUGGGACAAGGGUAGACACAGGAGAACUUGAACUUUUAUUACAAGCUGGAAAACUGAAACCCAAAGGUGGAAAUCUGUUACCAGUGCAUUUUUUUUUUUUUAAUAAAAUAGUUUAAAAGAGCUUAUCUAAAUUUAAAUAUCCAGAUUUAAGCAGUUUAUUUCCUUGUACAACAAACUAAACAGAUGAUGCAAGAGCAUGUAAAAAUUCAGCUGCUCUGUUGGCAUUUGAAUGGUUUGUCCUCACAUGCAUCAGCAUCCCUUGACUUACAAUAUUUCAUCCCUUCUGUUUGCAAAAUGGGUAGGGUUUUCCCAGGCAGAUACUUUGUCUGGACUGCACCAUAUUCGAUCUUCGAAUAAUCAGUUCAAACUGCAAGUCAAACACCUCUUCUACUCCAUUCUCUGUAAUUGAUUCAUUAUUUCUUUCAAAUUCCUUGGCUGCCUCAUGUCUUUUUGCCAGUGUAAUGCAUAUUAAGCAAUCAGGUCAUUCCAGGUUGCUUUUGUUUGUGUUACUCCUAUGAAUUCAGUUUAUGUUUAACCCUGGGAAUAACAGACAUAAAAAGCCAACACCAAAAAAAGAAGGGAGGAUGCAUCCAGUGCAGUCAGUAUCAUGUCCAGUCACAGAGUUAGGAGGGGACAGGAUGAUUGAAGGGAAUGAUAAAGGGCACAAGCUUCUAGUUUUUGGAAUUGGUUUAGGUUUGAUAAAUCAGAAAACUGUUACCAAGUAAGAG